rnacentral:rRNA from 1 species
UCUGCAGGCGGUUAAGUGUGUGAAAGGUGAAAUCUCUCGGCUCAACCGAGAAACUGCCUUUCAAACUGCUUAACUUGAGGAUAGAAUGGGAGAGCGGAACUGCCGGUGUAAGGGUGAAAUCUGUGGAUAUCGGCAGGAACGCCUGUGGUGAAGACGGCUCUCUGGUCUAUAUCUGACGCUCAGGGACGAAAGCAUGGGGAGCAAACA